UACGUAGGUGGCGAGCGUUAUCCGGAAUUAUUGGGCGUAAAGCGCGCGCAGGUGGUUUCUUAAGUCUGAUGUGAAAGCCCACGGCUCAACCGUGGAGGGUCAUUGGAAACUGGGAGACUUGAGUGCAGAAGAGGAAAGUGGAAUUCCAUGUGUAGCGGUGAAAUGCGUAGAGAUAUGGAGGAACACCAGUGGCGAAGGCGACUUUCUGGUCUGUAACUGACACUGAGGCGCGAAAGCGUGGGGAGCAAACAGG
rnacentral:rRNA from 1 species